rnacentral:lncRNA from 1 species
UUUAAUCUUCAAAAAUCAUGCAUUUCACACAAACUAUUUGUAAAAGGAACGUCCGAAAACAUAAAAGGAGUUUCAUUUCACCCAACUAAUAAUUCGAUAAUAGCUCAAAGUAGUGAUAAUAUUAUGUGUUUGUGGAAAAAAGUAAAUAUUUAUUCUGAACAAAAUGAUAUAAAUUUGGGACAAAAUAAAAAAACUUUUGGACAGGGCCAGCUGGAACUAGAACAAAGUAGACAACAAUAUGAACAAAGUAAGUUACAAUAUGAACAAAGCAAGUUACAAUAUGAACAAAGAAAGUCACUAUACGAACAAAAUAAUCAGAUUUUAAGGUCACCAUCUCCAGUAUUAUCAUCACCAGUACUAUCAUCUCCAGUAUACGAAUGUAACAGCUCAGAUAGUAAUACACAAAAAAAUAAAAAAUUAAUAAAAGAAUAUUUUGAAUAUAUAUAUGAAGAAGACAUGAAUAAAAAUUAUAAAAACAUUGACACGCCAACAAUCCGUCAUAUUUAUUUUGAUACAUUUGGGAAAUAUGCUAGUAUAACUCACAUACCCAGUAAUGGUAACAAUUGUGGUGUUUUAUUAAAAAUAGUUAAUGAUUUAUAUGUACAUAAGAAACGUGUGUUUUUAAAUGGCCAUGGUAGUUGUAUACGACUAGCUAAUAUAGGGAAAAAGGUUUAUAUAGAUGCAAAAAAAAAAAAAAAAUUAUUUAGUUUGUAUUGCCAAUGUAGUGACAAUGGUAUUAUAUCUUUAUGGAAAAUUUUUUUAAAAAGAAUAAAAAAAAUAAAAAAUAAAUCAAAUGCAAUGGAAUAUGAAUGUAGUGAAAAUUUUAAAAUUAACAAAAUAGGAAAGGAGUGUAUUAGUAGUGAUAUUUCUGAUAUUUAUGUUAAUGACAAUAUCCAUAACAAGAAGGAACAGAACAAUAAGCUGGAAAUGCAGUAUGAGAAUAAACAACAGAAUAGCAAAAACUAUAGCAAACACGAUAGCAAAAACGAUAGCAAAAACGAUAGCAAAAAUGAUAGCA